UACGUAGGUGGCGAGCGUUGUCCGGAUUUACUGGGCGUAAAGAGCGCGCAGGCGGCUGGUCAAGUCCGAUGUGAAAGCUCCCGGCUUAACUGGGAAAUUGCAUCGGAAACUGAUCGGCUGGAAGGUGGGAGAGGGUAGCGGAAUUCCCGGUGUAGUGGUGAAAUGCGUAGAUAUCGGGAGGAACACCAGGGGCGAAAGCGGCUACCUGGCCCAUUCUUGACGCUGAGGCGCGAAAGCUAGGGGAGCAAACGGG
rnacentral:rRNA from 1 species